GGGCGUGUAGCUCAGUUGGUUAGAGCGCGCGGUUCACGUCCGCGAGGUCUGUGGUUCAAAUCCACACACGCCCA
rnacentral:tRNA from 1 species